GAUCCUGGUUCAGGACGAACGCUGGCGGCGUGCUUAACACAUGCAAGUCGAACGCUGAAGCCUAGCUUGCUGGGUGGAUGAGUGGCGAACGGGUGAGUAACACGUGAGUAACCUGCCCUCUUCUUUGGGAUAACGCCCGGAAACGGGUGCUAAUACUGGAUAUUCACUGAUUCUCGCAUGGGGGUUGGUGGAAAGGUUUUUCUGUGGGGGAGUGGCUCGCGGCCUAUCAGCUUGUUGGUGGGGGUGGAUGG
rnacentral:rRNA from 1 species